UGUAAUACAUUUUCUUUCCUUCCUUCAUUAAUUUUGUUAAUUCAUUUUCUCAUUCAUGUGUUUAUGAUGUAUGUAGAUACAAAUGCAUGUUACUCUGCUGGUUGUAAGUUUGUGAACACUGAACAGAUGGAAAGUUGAUUUUGAAUUCGAACAUCACUACAAAAUGGCUGACACUCUAAAUAGUGCACUAUGUAGGGGAUAAGGUGCAGUUUCAGACACAGCAUGUGUCACCUUUAAUCACCAGCACUCUGAUGACCUGCACCUGUACUCAAUCACAGUUAAAGUAUUUGACUAUUUUAUCACUGCCACCACCUCACAUUUGUCUUUGUUGCAUUUUGAGACCAAACCUUUGUAUGUUAUCAUUUUAUUUCUUGUCAAUUUGAUGUUUUGCAAUUUCCUGAACACUGAUUGUUUAUUAAUCCAGAUUUUUGCUGAAUAUAUUACUAUCUUGGUGUCUGUCCCUGUAGCCUAAAAAGGAUUUUGUUAUGGGGCUGUGCUGUUUUCUGGUGUUUGCUCAGUCUUUAGCUCUCUGCUGUUAUAUAUAGUUGAAGUCACCUAUAUAUGAAAAAAUGGGAACAGUGAAAAACUAGAACCUGACCAGAGGAGGCAGAGACUGAUGGUUAAAAGCAGCAAUGUGAGCGUUGCUAGUUUUGCUGUCUGCUAGCUUUGCUGUGAUGCUAGCUCAAUUGGUUUGAAAACAGGUCAUGUUGGCAUCCUGGUGAAGAGCAAGUGGUGCUGAACAAAGACCAGGAAGAUGGUGUAGGAUCUCAGCUAUAUGGGAAAUGGGAUGCUUCUCACUGUUGUAAGCAGGGAAGUGCUUCUGCUCCCUGAAGGCCAGCAGAAAGUAUAAAGGAGAGCUGCUUCUUGCAAACCAUUUGAGUCCUCAUAAACACAGACAUUGGAGUGGUUUGCGCAAGUUCACGCAAACAUUGCUGUUUGUUUACACAGACUAUACAGACUCUCCUUACUUUACAAACGUUCGCAAAUAUGAACAAACCUGGAAUGAAGUAAAAUGGAGUUGAAAAAAAUCAAAAAAGAGUAGAGACUAGCGCUAGCUAUUUGAUGACCAUAAGUCUACAUGAUGCCCACUGGAGGCGAAUGAAUUUUUAUUAUAUAAAAUUUUGUAUAGUGUUUCGA